CUAUGCGCCUUGCCAGCCCGCUCAGGUGUGCCAGCCGCCGCGGUAAUACGGAGGAUGCGAGCGUUAUCCGGAUUUAUUGGGUUAAAGGGUGCGUAGCGGGAUGCCAAGUCAGCGGUAAAAAUGCGGUGCUCAACGCCGUCGAGCCGUUGAAACUGGCGUUCUUGAGUGGGCGAGAAGUAUGCGGAAUGCGUGGUGUAGCGGUGAAAUGCAUAGAUAUCACGCAGAACUCCGAUUGCGAAGGCAGCAUACCGGCGCCCAACUGACGCUGAAGCACGAAAGCGUGGGUAUCGAACAGG
rnacentral:rRNA from 1 species